GUCUGUGGCCAUACCACUCUGGACGCGCCUAAUCUCCUCUGAUCUUCGAAGCUAAGCAGGGUUGGGCCUGGUUAGUACUUGGAUGGGAGAUUGUAAGGAACUGUCUGAGGCUGGGAAAA
ensembl:rRNA 5S_rRNA 5S ribosomal RNA